AAAAGAAGAAAAGAAAACGAAGAAAAACCACAAAUAAAUAAAAGUUGAGGUAUGAUAUAUGCACAGCUGCAUUCGCCCCUUUGAGGGCACAGUUGUGUGAGUUUAGACAAAUGCAAAUGUUCAUGGAACCACUGCAAGUGCGACAGAGCAGCUCUGGUGCCCACAAAGCUUCCUCAAGGUCCCUUGCGGUCAGUCACUGCCCGCACCUCAGCCGUCAGAGCCACUGGGAAGCCCCCUGCCCUGUGGGCUCACCUGUCCUAGAACGUCUUAUAAAAGGAGUCGCAGAUCGCAGCCUUUUCCACCUGGCUUCUGUCCCUCUGCAGGGUGCACCUGGGAUUCAGCCACCUUCGUUCCUUUUACCCCUGAGUGUCCAUCACGUGCUGCUCAUGCAGAAGUGCUCAAGUUCGCUGUAAACAUAGUUUUCAUUUCUCCCGGGUGGAGACCUCCAUAAGUAGGUAGGUUGGUGGAAUGUUUCACUGCAUGAGAGUCUGCCAGGAAGUUUUGCAGUGUGGUCCCGUCUUGUUCUUCCCGCAGAGGGUGAUAGCUCUGCUGACUCCCGGCCCUCACAGGCUCUAGGGAUUGAGCCUGUUUCUGUGGAACGCCUUCCGUGGUCUGCGAGGUGCACAGAGGGGUCGCAAAAAGCUUCCAGGUUGCACCUUCCCAUGGACUGAUGCUGAGCGUGUUCUCAUCUCCCAUCCGGAUGUUUUCUUUGGUUGGAGUGCAACGG
rnacentral:lncRNA from 1 species